rnacentral:rRNA from 1 species
AGUACGGUCGCAAGGCUGAAACUUAAAGGAAUUGGCGGGGGAGCACUGCAACGGGAGGAGCGUGCGGUUUAAUUGGAUUCAACGCCGGAAAACUCACCAGGGCCGACUGUUAGAUGAAGACCAGCGUGAUGAGCUUGUCGGAUUUUCAGAGAGGUGGUGCAUGGCCGUCGUCAGUUCGUACUGUAAAGCGUUCUGUUAAGUCAGAUAACGAACGAGACCCUCAUCUCUAUUUGCUACCUGUCUCUCCGGAGACAGCGCACUAUAGAGAGACCGCUGGUGUUAAACCAGAGGAAGGCGAGGGCAACGACAGGUCAGUAUGCCCCGAAUGUCCUGGGCUACACGCGCGCUACAAAGGACGGGACAAUGGGAAGCCAGGCCGAGAGGCCGAGCUAACCCGAAACCCGUUCGUAGUUCGGAUUGAGGGCUGUAACUCGCCCUCAUGAAGCUGGAUUCCGUAGUAAUCGUGUUUCAAUAUAGCACGGUGAAUAUGCCCCUGCUCCUUGCACACACCGCCCGUCAAACCAUCUUAGUUGGGGGUGGGUGAGGCUGCGCUUUAUGGCGUAUUCGAGCCUGCCUUCGACAAGGAGGGUUAAGUCGUAACAAGGUAUCUGUAGGGGAACCUGCAGAUGGAUCACCUCCUAAG